ensembl:rRNA 5S_rRNA 5S ribosomal RNA
GUCUGGAGCCCUUUGACCCUGGCUUGAUCUUGGAAGCUAAGCAGGGUAGGGACUGGCUAGAACUUGGAUGGGAGACUGCCUGGGAAAACUGGGUGCUCAAAAAC